rnacentral:tRNA from 2 species
AGACAGUUAUAAUUGCUGGCAGCACUCAUAAUGCUGGGGUCGGCGGUUCGACUCCGCCCCUUGCUACCA